AGUAGGAGAGCUGGGUCAAAUUGGUUGCAUUCCAAGUUUUCUAAGGCAAUCUCCAUAUUGCUUUCCAGAUUGGCUGCAGCAAUUUGCAGUCCCACCAGCAGU
rnacentral:pre_miRNA from 1 species